AGUGGCGGACGGGUGAGUAACGCGUGAGAAUCUGCCUUGGGGUCGGGGACAACCACUGGAAGCGGUGGCUAAUACCGGAUACGCCUUCGGGUAAAAGAUUUAUUGCCCUAAGAGGAGCUCGCGUCUGAUUAGCUAGUUGGUGAGGUAAGAGCUCACCAAGGCAGCGAUCAGUAGCUGGUCUGAGAGGACGAUCAGCCACACUGGGACUGAGACACGGCCCAGACUCCUACGGGAGGCAGCAGUGGGGAAUUUUCCGCAAUGGGCGAAAGCCUGACGGAGCAAGACCGCGUGAGGGAGGAAGGCUCUUGGGUUGUAAACCUCUUUUCUCAGGGAAGAAGCUCUGACGGUACCUGAGGAAUCAGCCUCGGCUAACUCCGUGCCAGCAGCCGCGGUAAUACGGAGGAGGCAAGCGUUAUCCGGAAUUAUUGGGCGUAAAGCGUCCGCAGGUGGCGAUUCAAGUCUGCUGUCAAAGCACGGGGCUUAACUCCGUAAAGGCAGUGGAAACUGAAUAGCUAGAGUGCCGUAGGGGUAGAGGGAAUUCCCGGUGUAGCGGUGAAAUGCGUAGAGAUCGGGAAGAACAUCGUUGGCGAAAGCGCUCUACUGGACGGCAACUGACACUCAGGGACGAAAGCUAGGGCAGCGAAUGGGAUUAGAUACCCC
rnacentral:rRNA from 1 species